UGCCCAAGAGAUCGGGAUAACACCUGGAAACAGAUGCUAAUACCGGAUAACAACAGAUGAUGCCUAUCAACUGUUUAAAAGAUGGUUCUGCUAUCACUCUUGGAUGGACCUGCGGUGCAUUAGCUAGUUGGUAGGGUAACGGCCUACCAAGGCGAUGAUGCAUAGCCGAGUUGAGAGACUGAUCGGCCACAUUGGGACUGAGACACGGCCCAAACUCCUACGGGAGGCAGCAGUG
rnacentral:rRNA from 1 species